AUGUUUUGGUAAGUGUUUAUGUGACAUAUAUAUGAUAUCAAAUCGCCACGUAUUGCAAACUACGGAAAUCUUAUAGGUCAUUUCUCCUUGUGCUUAAAUUGCAAUACUGGAAGAAACUAAUAUGCUAAAUAUAAAUAAUAAAAGUAUUUAUUUCUAAUUUGUUUGUUUGAAAUUUAUUCAUAGUUUUCACAUGUAAAGUAGGAAGUCUAUUCAUGUAGUACGGACUUUUCCUGGCCAUUACUUAGUUUAUACAUACUUUAUUUUAGGUCGAUUGUGAAGCAAGUUCUACAACUUUUACUUAUAAUUCAUUUCUGAUGGAAUCCAUCGCCAUGAGGGUAUGAGAGAAGAGAAGCCAGUUUUCCUCUAAAUGCUGAGCGUCAAACAAGGGAGCUACUGAUACCAUUUUUCACGUUUUUGUUAUGGUGAUUUUCUGUUACCAUGGAAAUGGAAGUAUGUUUGGGUACGAAAGACGGGAGACAUGCAAAGUGUGGUUGUUGAUUAUAUUCUACAUAGUGAGCCUACGGUGGGAAUAGUGGUUCAGGACUAUUCAUGUGAUACCUUUAGAUGAUCACGUGCUAUUUUUUUCUGACAUGUUAAGAGACAGUGCAGCCAUCGUUUCAAUAUGGCAUUUUUUUGUUCUGUUGAACCAUUAUUCAUGUGUGAUAAUUGAAUGUGCGAAAAUUUGAAUAAAUACAUCUACCUGUUUGUACCAAUCCUAUACAUUCUUUCUUGUUUAUUUCUGGUAUGAAUUUAAGUGAGAUAAUAAAUAAUUUAUGUUUGACCUAAAUGAAAUGAAGAGAAAACAUAAUUAAAUCUAUACUUGUAGUACAGCUGGUCCAUAGUUAGUUAUUUAUCUUUUGACAAAGAACGUUUUUAUAUUAAUAAAGAAAACCGUUAGGUUCCACCGAGAUUUGAACUCGGAUCGCAGGAUUCAGAGUCCUGAGUGCUAACCAUUACACCAUGGAACCUGCAGUUCACUUUCACUUCAAAAGUUAUAACUAAUCUAAUUAGGGAAUACCUGACAGGGAAAUGUAUAUUACCGUUUCACAGGUAUGUAAAACAUUGAAUGUUUAUUCAUCUGAUAAUUUCUGUCGUAUAUGGUUCUAUGGUGUAAUGGUUAGCACUCUGGACUUUGAAUCCAGCGAUCCGAGUUCAAAUCUCGGUAGAACCUUUCUUUUGUUGAAUGAAUGAGGGAUCAAAAUAUAAAAGCUCCGUUCAAAAAAAAAACCAUUCACGCAAUAUUUCUGACCCUUAUAUUUCUUUUCCAUGUAUUGAGAAUGUCUUCUGCCAGAUGAGAUGCUCGUAUGAAGAAUCGACAUAAAGCAAAAUGGCUACAUAUUCCGAAGGCUUAUGGGUUCCGAUACUUACCUUCCAAUACAACUAAAGUUCACACUCUAUGUCAUAAUAUUACUGAUACCUCAUUUUUUUCUCCAUUUUGUGGGAAGCUGGAAAUAUACCUAAAUUAAAUACAUGUUAUGAUAUAAUUUAUAUUUAUAGUACAUGCACGUAGUGAUUAAUCUUCUCACAAAUAAUGUAUUUAUUUUCAUAAAAGUAUAAGGUUCCACCGAGACUUGAACUCGGAUCGCAGGAUUCAGAGUCCUGAGUGCUAACCAUUACACCAUGGAACCUGUUAUACGCUUACAUUUUUAAAGUUAAAACUAAUCUAAAUAUGGGAUAUUUGAUAACGGACCAUAUCGCGAGUAUGUAAAAUAUUUGAAUGUUUAUUCAUCUGAUAAGUUAACUGUCGUAGUUGGUUCUAUGGUGUAAUGGUUAGCACUCUGGACUUUGAAUCCAGCGAUCCGAGUUCAAAUUUCGGUAGAACCUUUAUUUAAUAAAACAUUUUUCUUAUAUGUAUUAACUGUAUAGUCAUCACUGUGAUCCCAGAAAACAAAGCUCUGCCCAAAAACAAUAUAACGUGGUCGCAAAACGUAUAUCCUUUAUAUUUUAACCCAUCUUUGGGAUCGCUUUAUCAGCAGAAUCGAAUUCUUGAGAAAUGGGCUAGAUAAACUAAUGCUUUAUUCAUUCCAUCAAUUAAAUACACGAUGUAGUUCAGUCCUCGCGUUUUCCUUAACUUUUCACCAGUCACGUUGUGGGAUUCGAUUCAUUGUGCCGCCGAGACUUGAAGUCGGAUCGCAGCAUUCAGAGUCCUGAGUGCUAACCAUUACACCAUGGAACCUGUAGUCUGAGCAGGUAGAUGUCGCACAUAAACUUAAAUCAAUACAAAAAAAAUUAUAUAAUUUUGAUCGAAUAUAUUUCACAUGUUAUGUAUAUAUUGCUACAUGGAUUUAUCUGUUUCAGUUAUGGUGAUUUUCUGUUGCCAUGGGUAUUGAAGUAUGUUUGGGUACGAAAGACGGGAGACAUGCAAAGUGUGGUUGUGAUUUAUAUUCUAAAUAUUAUGGUGAUUUUCUGUUGCCAUGGGAAUUGAAGUAUGUUCGGGUACGAAAGACGGAAGACAUGCAAAGUGUGGUUGUGAUUUAUAUUCUAAAUAUUAUGGUGAUUUUCUGUUGCCAUGGGAAUUGAAGUAUGUUCGGGUACGAAAGACGGAAGACAUGCAAAGUGUGGUUGUGAUUUAUAUUCUAAAUAUUAUGGUGAUUUUCUGUUGCCAUGGGAAUUGAAGUACUUUCGGGUACGAAAGACGGAAGACAUGCAAACUGUAGUUGUGAUUUAUAUUCUAAAUAGUGAGUGGGAAUAGUGGUUCAGGACUAUUCACGUGAUACCAUUAAUGUUCACGUGCUAUUUUUUUUCUUUUCUUAUAUGUUAAGAGACAGUGCAGCCAUCGUUUCAUUAUGGCAUUUUUGUUUUGUUUUGUUGAACCAUUAUUCAUGUGUGAUUUUUGAAUGUGCGAAAAUGGAAUGAAUACAUCUACUUGUUUGUACCAAUCCUAUACAUUCUUGCUUGUUUAUUUCUGGUACGAAUUUAAGUGAGAGAAAUAAAUAAUUUAUGUUUGACCUAUAUGAAAUGAAAAGAAAACAAAAAUACAUGUUAUGAUAUAAUUUAUAUUUAUAGUACAUGCACGUAGUGAUUAAUCUUCUCACAAAUAAUGUAUUUAUUUCCAUAAAAAUAUAAGGUUCCACUGAGACUUGAACUCGGAUCGCAGGAUUCAGAGUCCUGAGUCCAUUACACCAUGGA